UAGUCCACGCCGUAAACUAUGAUAACUCGGUGCUGGCGAUAUAAUGUCAGUGCCCAAGCGAAAGUGAUAAGUUAUCCACCUGGGGAGUACGAUCGCAAGGUUGAAACUCAAAGGAAUUGACGGGGGCCCGCACAAGCGGUGGAGCAUGUGGUUUAAUUCGAAGCAACGCGCAGAACCUUACCCAGCCUUGACAUCCUGGUAAGUUGGUGGAAACACCUUCGUGCCAUCUCACGAUGGAAACCAGUGACAGGUGCUGCAUGGCUGUCGUCAGCUCGUGCUGUGAAGUGUUCGGUUAAGUCCGGCAACGAGCGCAACCCCUAUCGUUAGUUACCAGCAUUUAGUUGGGGACUCUAGCGAGACUGCCGGUGAUAAACCGGAGGAAGGUGGGGGACGACGUCAAGUCCUCAUGGCCCUUAUGGCUGGGGGCUACACACGUGCUACAAUGGCGCCUACAGAGGGGCAGCGAAGCGGGCGACGUGGGAGCAAAUCCCUUAAAAGGGCGU
rnacentral:rRNA from 1 species